AACACAUGUUGUCACCUUGUUGUACCUCUAGGAAAACAUAGUUACCCACUACCAUUGGAUACCUAAAACGCAAAGUCCUCUCGUUUCAUCGCAAAUGAUGACAUUUAUUUGUCCAACGUAUAUCUGCCAGCUUUCGCAGAAAAGUUCCUCUGCUCGCAGUGCUUCGUUUGCAUAAACGGGGGCAAAGAAGUUAUUGCUUAUUUGCUUUGUAACGGCACGUGUAUUUAAAUGGUGUUUUUUAGAGAAUAAAUGUAUAGCUAAAAAAUAUUUACUUUUAGUACAUAUCGCAAAAAGCUGUUAUUACUGUCAUAAAUAUUUAGAAUAUUGCCAGUUAGAUAAUAGAUCGAUAGAGAUAUACGACGACAGUAUUAUCAGUACUGCUUUAUAGCAUUUUGGUAUCUAAUUGCGCACUCUAAUUUAGCUUAAAAGGCCACCAAGCAAACGUGCCAAAUUUUCUAGAUAGCGUUGCAAGCAGGAAUGGCAAUUAAAAAUAUGCGAUUCGAAAGAUAAAAGACUAUUUCCGAACAGUAUAGACGUAUCUACUUAUAUUAAACACUGUAGACAAGUUUUACUGAUUGUGCGAUGCGAUCUGAAAGCCAAGAUGGAGGCACCAGCCACAAUACGACACGGGUCAUUAUGGUGGUGACUCAGGAUCGACUCUCCAGAAGCUAUACCGAGUCCACGUAGGCGACUUCUGCCCAGGUUCAAGGAAUGAUCAGUAGUAAUCGUUGGUCACUAUGCUAUGAUCCAGUUUCAUCACAGCCGUCCUAGAACCAUCGCUGGCGUAGACUGGUUUAGUUCAAUCUGUAACUCUGUUACAGAUUGACUUAAUCUAUUGACAGCUAUAGUCAAGCACAUGUAGACGGUCAAACUCAGUAAACACAAGAAAUUAAGUAAAGACAUUAUUGAUCCCAAAAGGACACGUCAAGCAUCGCGUAACGUCUGCCAACUACGCAUUUACACGUUUGAAACCGUCGUGACUUCAUUUCAUUCACGAGUUCACUUCAUUUAGCGAAUUUUAAGCGUGAAGCCAAAUGGACGCAUCGUAUCUUAAAGGCACACGAUCUGAAUAAUUGUAACUUUUUUAAUUUUACAGGGAAAGAAAAUAUCUUGAUCGAAUGCUUUUGCCCUGUGUGUAUAUAUGCUUGUGAACGUGUAUCUUAGUUUCACAUCGCAGCUUCGAUAUGUUUGUCGCUAUUGUUAUAGCUUAGAACAUUUUAGAAAUACUAGAAGAAGAAGAGCACGACAAACGUGGCUUCGAAGUGAACUUCUGAAUCACGCUUAUGUUGACGUUUAUAUUUUAUCAACUAUCGGAACAUGUAAUUACCUGUUAUUAUUUUUGCGCUGACGGUACAGGAAAUUGUCACGGCAUUGUUAAACGGCAUUGUAGCAAUUGUUAAACUUGUCACGGCAACUAUUGUUUUUUGUUUAUUAACUCUGACUGUAUCUUCAUAGUGCCAAUUCGGCAGUGGUGUUUCUAAAUUUCCUAACAUUAUUUGCUAUGGAAUCAUUGCGAGCCCGACCGGAUGUGUCGACGAUUCAACAACAUCCUUCACAAACGAGCUAAUUUUUAUUCAUUUGUUUUACACGUUUUUAUAGUCGUUAUCCAAGUAUGUGUCUGGAAAAAUAUUCAUUCAAUUUUUAUGAAAGAAGUUCAGAAGUUCUGGCAUUGAAUUUCAGUUCCAUUGAAAACAAAAUUCUAGGAAAUCGCCCGGUGGGAAAUCCAUUUAAUCUCGUUAACGGAGCUUUUCGGAGAAAGUCUAAGAAUAUCAUCAGGGAAAAGCAGCAAGAUAGCUUAAUUUUAAUUGCUACUUUUCCCUUUUUCGACUAGCUACAACUAUCCUAGAACAUCCUACAGCUUUGAAACAAUGAGUUCGCUUAUAGCGAGAAGUCACAACUGCAUCCCAUCGUUAACCAAGAAGCGAUAUCUAUACGUAUCAAAAUGUAUAUCUACUUUAUCUACUCAAUGUUAGGUUUGCUAAGAAAUAUGUUCUAAUAAUUAAUUUUCUAUAUUCACCUACUAAAUAAUUAUCCUUUACAGAAGGUUCUACGAUGGAAGCACUUCGAAAUAAUCAUCACCAAACAUUGCCAGUACAAAAACUAGGAUUAGAUGAAAAGUACUUGCAAAACUAAAGAAACUUUACUUCAUUGGUUUAAUAUAAACAGAUCUAGGAAAUUAGGUGCAGACCCGAUUUCCAGAAGGAAAAGUUGUGUCUAGGUCCCAAAAGCGAGAACAGCUAGAAUAAAUAUAGUUGCGCAUGCAGCUUUAAAGUUAUCGAGAAAUUCUAUUUUUGCUUCUAUUUCUUGGUGAACUUGUCUUUUCUCCAGGUAAGGGAAAAAGCCCGAGUGGGUAAGAACAUUGCACCUUAUACAACGUGUGUGACUAUAUAAUAAAACUCCAAAGUUCUAUGUGUUAAAUAAAUCUUACACCAUUCAUGCUGA
rnacentral:lncRNA from 1 species